GGCCUUGCUCUUAUGUCAUCUGACUAAAGGUUUCAUAGACCAAAGAUAACCAUCCAACCUGUUGGAAUACUGAAACAAUUGCUGCCUGCUUUCCACACACUACAUAAAAUAUGUGGAUAUCCUAAAUUCUACAAAAAAAGAUUUGUAAGCAAAUCAAGCAAUACUGGGACUCCCUCUUCUCCAGAAGAGACAUCCUGGCCUCCAUGCAGAGGAAUGUGUGGAUAGACAUAUAUUUAAGGAAGACACUAAACCAGAAAAUACUACAUUACACCCUCUUAAAAGACUUCUAAGAUUGUUGUCAUGCCUACCACUGACAUUCAGAUGAUGUGUAUUCUUGAUUGUGAUUUCAUGUUUGGAGCUGAUGAAGGAGUUUGAAGUCUCCAGAGCAGCAAGGAGAGUGGGGAGUAGAACUCAUCAUCUUUAGGUCACUCAUCCCCG
rnacentral:lncRNA from 1 species